rnacentral:ncRNA from 2 species
AUAAGGUGUGUAAUUUCAGGUGGCUGUAAAAAGCCUAACAGGGAAUCCGGUUUAAAGCCGGAACGGACCCGCCGCUGUGAUUGGGGACGAAAACUGUGUAAUGCCACUGCCGGUUUGAAGCUGGUGGGAAGGCGCAGUGAGUAGAAUGAUCCAGGAGUCAGAAGACCUGCCUGACAUAUAUAUGUUGU